rnacentral:misc_RNA from 1 species
UGGUUUUGGCAUNGAUGAAGAACGCAGCGAAAUGCGAUAAGUAAUGUGAAUUGCAGAAUUCAGUGAAUCAUCGAAUCUUUGAACGCACAUUGCGCCCUCUGGUAUUCCGGAGGGCAUGCCUGUUCGAGCGUCAUUUAAAGAAGCUCAAGCUCUGCUUGGAAUUUGGGCCUCCGCCCCUCGCGGGGCGGGCCCUAAAUCGGUCGGCGGUGGCUCUGGCCCUCAGGCGUAGUAAAAUAUUCCGCUCUGUGAGGACCCGGGUCGCCCGCUCCAAAAAACCCCACGCACCUAAAGUUGACCUCGGAUCAGGUAGGGAUACCCGCUGA